rnacentral:rRNA from 1 species
CCUACGGGAGGCAGCAGUGGGGGAUAUUGCACAAUGGGCGGAACCCUGAUGCAGCGACGCCGCGUGGGUGAAGAAGGGCCUCGGCGCGUAAAGCCCUGUCAGCAGGGAAGCAAAUGACGGUACCUGUAGAAGAAGCCCCGGCUAACUACGUGCCAGCAGCCGCGGUAUUACGUAGGGGGCACGCGUUAAUCGGAUUUACUGGGGGGAAAGGGGGCGCAGACGGCGAUGCAAGCCAGGUGUGAAAGCCCGGGGCCCAACCCCGGGACUGCUGCUGAAACUGGGUGGCUGGAGUGCAGGAGGGGCAGGCGGAAUGCCUGGUGUAGCGGUGAAAUGCGUAGAUAUCAGGAGGAACACCGGUGGCGAAGGCGGCCUGCUGGACUGCAACUGACGUUGAGGCCCGAAAGCGUGGGGAGCAAACAGGAUUAGAUACCCCUGUAGUC